rnacentral:rRNA from 1 species
ACGGGAGGCAGCAGUGAGGAAUAUUGGUCAAUGGACGGAAGUCUGAACCAGCCAAGUCGCGUGAAGGAUGAAGGUAUUAUGUAUUGUAAACUUCUUUAGCAGUGGAGUAAUAAGGGGAUCGCGAUCCCUGAUGCAAGUACACUGAGAAUAAGGAUCGGCUAACUCCGUGCCAGCAGCCGCGGUAAUACGGAGGAUCCGAGCGUUAUCCGGAUUUAUUGGGUUUAAAGGGUGCGCAGGCGGCCCUGUAAGUCAGCGGUUAAAUCGUGAGGCUCAACCUCAUCCCGCCGUUGAUACUGCAGGGCUUGAUUGCGGUCGAGGUUGGCGGAAUUCGCCGUGUAGCGGUGAAAUGCAUAGAUAUGGCGAAGAACUCCGAUUGCGUAGGCAGCUGACCAGGCCGUAAAUGACGCUCAUGCACGAAAGUGCGGGGAUCGAACAGGAUUAGAUACCCUGGUA